rnacentral:rRNA from 1 species
GUGGGGAAUCUUGCGCAAUGGGCGAAAGCCUGACGCAGCCAUUCCGCGUGAAUGAUGAAGGUCUUAGGAUUGUAAAAUUCUUUCACCGGGGACGAUAAUGACGGUACCCGGAGAAGAAGCCCCGGCUAACUUCGUGCCAGCAGCCGCGGUAAUACGAAGGGGGCUAGCGUUGCUCGGAAUUACUGGGCGUAAAGGGCGCGUAGGCGGACAGUUUAGUCAGAGGUGAAAGCCCAGGGCUCAACCUUGGAAUUGCCUUUGAUACUGGCUGUCUUGAGUACGGGAGAGGUGAGUGGAACUCCGAGUGUAGAGGUGAAAUUCGUAGAUAUUCGGAAGAACACCAGUGGCGAAGGCGACUCACUGGCCCAAUACUGACGCUGAGGCGCGAAAGCGUGGGGAGCAAACAGGAUUAGAUACCCUGGUAGUCC